CGAAAUCAAGUCUUAAUAACCAACUUUCUCUACAUCUUACAUUGCCACUAGACCUCCAAAAGGGAAGCAAACUUUCCACAAUUCCGUUCUUUCUCUCUUUGCCCAAUUGGUUAUGAGGUGUUUCUUCAUUUUCAAACUUGGCAACACCAAAAUCAGUUCCUAAAACACCUUCUUGGCUGCAAACGCAGGCAAUUGUUUGAGAAAAUGCCUUUGUGGGUGCGUGCUCACUUCCCCUUCUGUUAGCUCAAAACUCUUCACGUCUCUCUCGUCUUUACAACUGAGACUACAGAAACUUUUUCUUCCGCUUAUAUGUCUUCACGUCCACUUUUCUCUCUCUAUAUGUAUCUAUAGAACUCUUGACUUAUCUCAAUGUUGAGUGUUAAAAAUGAGAACAAAAUGAAAAAGGAAAAGAAGUGAGACAUUGAGGGUUGAGCUCUUCAUCAUGAAAAGAGAAGUUAAAAUUGACUUAUGUUCUUUGUAUUGUUUGGAUUUCUUAUAUUAUAAUAAUAAGAAUAGCAAGUGAUGGAGCUUGAAAUUGGGCAGCGUGACUUUUCAUGGUCCUCUAUCUGUCUUUGAAGAGGGCGAACUACUUGAAGGUAUGCUUGCUUCGCUACCUUAUGUUUUUGCUUCUUCUUUGUGAUCUGGAUUUGGUUGACAUGAAAACUUUUGUAACUUCGACUCGAUAAUUACUUCCCUAAAGUGAGAAACAUGGUUUGUUUUCACUUCUGGGAAAAUAUGCCAGACUUUGUAGCCAUGAAUGAAGUUUCCCAAGAAGGCAAUCUUCUUGUGCAGCACCAUUUGUUGUUGGGUUUUUUGGGGGCAACAGCAAACAACUUCCAUUUCCUGUAGCUUAAUCACUCAGGUCGACUCAUACUAGUGAUCUUCCUAAACGAAAUUUUGAGCUCCACAAGUUUUAAUUUAAAUGAAUUCACUGAACAAGUUAGCGUUGCUUGACAGGAUUGAAGGAAAAUCAUUUUCAUGUUAUGUGAAUCUAGUCUGAAGCUUGAUAGGUUUCAUGAGACAUUUAGUAGGGGUAUGUAUUCACUUUCACAAACAUACAUAAGGAAUUGUAUUUUCACAUUGAAGGUAAAGAUUUAAAUAUUAAUGUUAAGACUCUACCAAAGCUUUUUAGAGUUGAUAUGAGCCUAAUUAAAGGAAUUAUGCAAGAUUGUAAAUCCUUGGAGGCUUAUCUUUUAAGCUUAUGUUAGGUCAAGUAUUAACUUAACAGAGACAAUCCUACAACAUUGUAAACCUAAGAGACUAAUUUUUUUUAUCUAUCUACUAGUUUAAGCUUUUAGAUUAGGUGGUAACUUAUCGUCGUAUUGUUAGAAAUCUGAGACCUUAAACACCUGAAUCACAAUACUCUAGCAAAAUAACACAGAGUCUUUUUUCAGGAUAUUAGAGUAGACCAAUAUACUAGAAAUUGAAUAAAAGAACCUUUACUAUUGUUUUAUAUUUGAACAAGGAGAACAACAACACAUUUACAUGGCUGGUCCCUAGGUUAAAAAUUAAAAAAUGAAAAUAAAUAGAACCCAAAAUGAUAACCAACAAUUCAGGGAGCUGAGACCUCCCAAAUCAGCCAAGGGUUACCUAAACAAAACCUAAACUCUUUUCAUGCUUUUUCAUUGUUACAACAGACUAAUCAAUAUUCUAAUAGUCUUCUGAUUUUAUGUGAUUUAUUUGGUGGAUUUGUUCUAAAUUUAGAUGCAAUUAAUCUGUUUCCACUUGAUGGGGUAGUUUCAAUAUAAAUAUUUUAGGUUCUUUGAAUAUGAGUAAGUUGUUAUUAUGGAAGAUUAGCCAUUAAAGAAGCAUUUAAGAAACUUGUUGAGCAUAAGAUUUAAUGGGCUCAUGUGGGGGGACUUGUUAAUCAAUUUGCAACUGAAUUGUGUAUGUUCAGCCUAGAUUUUAGACUUUUGCUUCUGGUUUUGGGUUGUCUUCCCUCUUCAAUAAAGUGCUUUUUUAACUUGCAUCUUCAGUGUUGAUAAAUUUCAUGGGAUUAAUUUACAUAUUUUCCUUUUGAAGAUGUGAUCUUAUGCAAUUUCCAUGUGUUGGCUCACGUAGAAACUGACUUUCUUAUUAUUAGUUUGUUUUAGCUCAAAUGAAUUCACCGAGCAAGUUUGAGUUGGCUGGCAGGUUGGUGUCAAUUUUUUCAAGUCUGAUGCCAUUACUAGUUUAUUUAAUAAUGUUAGGAAUUCCAGAUGACAUAUUGAUUCAUAUCACAGGUCUCAUAAUAUAAAAAAUUCAGCUAAGAAGGUUGAGUUUUUUGGUAGGUGGGUUGGGAUUUUUCAUGCAUACUUGUUAGUAAAAAAGUCUAGAUGAAGUUCUAUAGUGUUCUUGUGGCUUAUUGUCUUCGGAACCUUCUCUUUUUUCUAUGAUUAUUGUCCUCGGAACAUAUUUCAUUGUCAUCUCAAGUGGAUGACAGUGGAACUUUAUUUUCUUUGUGAUUACAAUAUAUAGAAUCCUGAAUUUAUACAUUCUCCAA